CCUACGGGAGGCUGCAGUGAGGAAUAUUGGUCAAUGGGCGCGAGCCUGAACCAGCCAAGUAGCGUGAAGGAUGACUGCCCUAUGGGUUGUAAACUUCUUUUAUAAAGGAAUAAAGUGAGGCACGUGUGCCUUUUUGUAUGUACUUUAUGAAUAAGAAUCGGCUAACUCCGUGCCAGCAGCCGAGGUAAUACGGAGGAUCCGAGCGUUAUCCGGAUAUAUUGGGGUUAAAGGGAGCGUAGAUGGGUUGUUAAGUCAGUUGUGAACGUUUGCGGCUCAACCGUAAAAUUGCAAUUGAUACUGGCAGUCUUGAGUACAGUAGAGGUAGGCGGAAUUCGUGGUGUAGCGGUGAAAUGCUUAGAUAUCACGAAGAACUCCGAUUGCGAAGGCAGCUUACUAAGCUGCCACUGACAUUGAUGCUCGAAAGUGUGGGUAUCAAACAGGAUUAGAUACCCGUGUAGUC
rnacentral:rRNA from 1 species